rnacentral:rRNA from 1 species
UACAGAGGUCUCAAGCGUUGUUCGGAAUCACUGGGCGUAAAGCGUGCGUAGGCUGUUUCGUAAGUCGUGUGUGAAAGGCGCGGGCUCAACCCGCGGACGGCACAUGAUACUGCGAGACUAGAGUAAUGGAGGGGGAACCGGAAUUCUCGGUCUAGCAGUGAAAUGCGUAGAUAUCGAGAGGAACACUCGUGGCGAAGGCGGGUUCCUGGACAUUAACUGACGCUGAGGCACGAAGGCCAGGGGAGCGAAAGGG